rnacentral:rRNA from 1 species
UACAGAGGGUGCAAGCGUUAAUCGGAAUUACUGGGCGUAAAGCGCGCGUAGGUGGUUCGUUAAGUUGGAUGGGAAAUCCCCGGGCUCAACCUGGGAACUGCAUUCAAAACUGUCGAGCUAGAGUAUGGUAGAGGGUGGUGGAAUUUCCUGUGUAGCGGUGAAAUGCGUAGAUAUAGGAAGGAACACCAGUGGCGAAGGCGACCACCUGGACUGAUACUGACACUGAGGUGCGAAAGCGUGGGGAGCAAACAGG